GAUGAAGAACGUAGCGAAAUGCGAUACUUGGUGUGAAUUGCAGAAUCCCGUGAACCAUCGAGUCUUUGAACGCAAGUUGCGCCCGAAGCCACUAGGCCGAGGGCACGCCUGCCUGGGCGUCACACGCCGUUGCCCCCCCAUCUACUCCUUCGGGAUUGCGGGGGGGCGGAUGAUGGCCUCCUGUGCGCCUAGCCGCGCGGUUGGCAUAAAUACCAAGUCCUCGGCGACGCACGCCACGACAAUCGGUGGUUGCGAAACCUCGGUUGCCCGUCGUGUGCGAUCGUCGCGCAUCGAGGGCUCGAAAAAAUGCUCGGCUCCGGCUGGGCUUUCAACGCGACCCCAGGUCAGGCGGGGUUACCCGCUGAAUUUAAGCAUAUCAAUAAGCGGAGGA
rnacentral:misc_RNA from 1 species